UACGUGAAACCGUUUAGGGGUAAACCUGAGAAACCCGAAAGAUCGAAUGAGGAGAUUCAUCGUCAGUGUAGUUGUCUUUCAUGUGUUUCGCGAUGGACAUGGUUAUCCAUGUUCACGCAUUCGUGUGGUAUGUUCAACUUUGCCGGCGUGCACUUCUCCUCUAGUAGAACGUUGCGACCCGCUGGAUGUUAGUCUAAGGAUCAGGAUGUUGACUGUUUUGAACGUUUACGCGUUCUUAGCAGACACUUGACUUCUGACUGACUGUUCGGCGGUACAUACAAGGUAUUGAGCCGCAUUUGAAUGCGUUCAGACUCGUUACAAGUUCGACCAUCAAAUAACCCAGGAGUGCGGACCUAGUGCCGUCCCUGGGAGUGGUUGGCUGUUGGUUGACGAUGUUCUCGGACUGGCUAAAUUGAACUAAACAAUACCGGUCAGCGACGCUAUUGCUUUGGGUACUUUCAGGACCCGUCUUGAAACACGGACCAAGGAGUCUAACAUGUGCGCAAGUCAUUGGGAUAUAUAAAACCUAAAGGCGCAUUGAAAGAAAAGAUCAACCUUGCGUUGAUUGAGGGAAGAUGGGCAAUGUUUUGAUGUUGCUUCGCACUCCCGGGGUGUCUCUUAAAGUCAUUGCGACUUGAGGCGCACCUAGAGCGUACACGUUGGGACCCGAAAGAUGAUGAACUAUGCCUGGUCAGGAUGAAGUCAGGGGAAACCCUGAUGGAGGUCCGUAGCGAUUCUGACGUGCAAAUCGAUCGUUGGAACUGGGUAUAGGGGCGAAAGACCAAUCGAAUCAUC
rnacentral:rRNA from 1 species